rnacentral:tRNA from 1 species
CGUAGCUCAGUUGGAUAGAGCGCAAGCUUGCGGAGCUUGAGGUCGCAGGUUCAAAUCCUGCCG